rnacentral:rRNA from 1 species
UACUCCUACGGGAGGCAGCAGUGGGGAAUAUUGGACAAUGGGCGCAAGCCUGAUCCAGCCAUGCCGCGUGAGUGAUGAAGGCCUUAGGGUUGUAAAGCUCUUUUGUCCGGGAAGAUAAUGACUGUACCGGAAGAAUAAGCCCCGGCUAACUUCGUGCCAGCAGCCGCGGUAAUAC